CACUAUUCGGGUACUUCUAUUUUUAGCAGCAAACAUGGACUGGCCAUUAUAUCAGUUCGAUGUAAAAAAUGCUUUCUUACAUGGAGACUUAGAAGAAGAAGUCUAUAUGGAUCCCCCUCCAGGAUGUAAGAAGGUGUUAAAUCAGAUCAAUAUGGUAUGUAAGCUGAGAAAAUCUCUUUAUGGAUUGAAACAAUCACCAAGAGCAUGGUUUGGGAGGUUCAGCAAAUCAAUGAAGAAUUUCGGCUACAAACAAAGUAACUCGGAUCAUACCCUUUUCUUGAAACAUAGGAAAGGUAAGGUCACAGCCCUUAUUGUGUAUGUUGAUGACAUGGUGGUUACCGGGAAUGAUCUUGAAGAAAAGACAGCAUUACAACGUCAUUUAGAGAGUGAGUUUGAGAUGAAGGAUCUCGGUGCUCUAAAGUAUUUUUUGGGUAUUGAAGUAGCUCGCUCGAAACAUGGAAUAUUUUUCUCACAGCGGAAGUAUACCCUUAACAUUUUGACUAAAACAGGAAUGCUAGCUUGCCAACCAGCAGAGACUCCGAUGGAAGAAAAUCACAAACUUGGUGAAUAUCUUGACCAAGUUCCCACCAACAAAGAAAGAUAUCAAUGCCUUGUGGGUAAGUUGAUAUAUCUAUCAUAUACUAGACCUGACAUAGCAUAUGCAGUAAGCGUGGUUAGCCAAUUCAUGCAUUCGCCAAGUGAAGCUCACAUGGAUGCUGUGAACAGAAUUCUGAGAUACUUGAAGUCAGCUCCUGGAAAAGGAUUAAUGUUCUUACAUCAUGGUCAUCCAGAUGUUGAAGGUCAUACUGAUGCAGAUUGGCCAGAUUCUAUUAAUGCUAGGAGAUCUACAUCUGGAUAUUUUACUUUUGUAGGAGGUAAUCUGGUCACUUGGCGGAGUAAAAAACAAAAAGUGGUAUCAAGGUCUAGUGCUGAAGCAGAAUAUAGGGGUAUGGCAUAUGGAGUAUGUGAACUACUCUGGAUUAGGAACUUGAUGACAGAUUUGGGAUUCAAACCUAAACAUGCAAUGAAAUUACAUUGUGACAACAAAGCUGCAAUUGACAUUGCACAUAAUCCAGUGCAACACGAUAGAACCAAACAUGUUGAAGUUGAUAGACAUUUCAUUAAAGAAAAGCUUGAGGCUAAGAUUAUUAAAUUACCAUUUGUUAAAUCCGAAGAUCAACUUGCAGAUGUACUCACCAAAGCAGUUAAAGGAAGAGUUUUUCACAGCUCAAUUAGCAAGUUAGGCAUGGACGACAUAUAUGCUCCAACUUGAGGGGGAGUGUCAAAUGAGCUGUAUUAAGCCUCAAAGGGAAAGAAUCAAUCCAUAUUAUGCAAG
rnacentral:lncRNA from 1 species